AAUUUAUCGCGAUCAACAUCUAGUGAAAUCAUGUCAUGAUAUUUUUCAGUGGAAAUUAAUGUUUUGUGUUGAGCAUUUAAUACUGUUUAUAUUAUUUUGGGUAUACACGGUUUGUAAAGGUUCAACAACGCAAGGACUAUGUAAUGGAAACUUUAAAGGUUGCUGCCCGGGUUCUGCCUGGAAUAGUCAAAAUCAAAAAUGUGAGCGUAACAUGUAUGCAAGGUUUCACAGGGGAAAACUGUUCAUCACCAUGUCCUUAUCCUACGUACGGAAACGGAUGCCAAAAUCUGUGUAACUGUAGCAAAGAUAUGUGUGUAGUAUCCACUGGAUGUCAAAGUUUUACCUCAGAUAUACAGAUCAGCAUUAGGUUGACGGAUUCUGUUGUGCUGUUAAAUGUGUCAGAUAAACCCAUGACACUUGGUUUUCCUACUAGCGAUAACACCACAAUGAUGGCAAACAACUCUACAGAUAAUAAAAACCCAAGAGUAACAGACAAUGACAUUUUGCUAAUUUACAUUAAGCUAUUUGGAUGUAUUGAUUUAGUUCUCUUUUGUCUGUACUACGGGGUCUCUCUGUAUGACCGAAAAUCAGACCAAAUGACAGACAUACCUAUUAUUGUUUUCAAACCAAAUAGAGUUUAUGAAAAUAUUGAAAUUGAAUAUUUCCAAGCACCGGAAAAUUAGUACAAAUAAUUGCUUUACCAUUAAAUUUUCAUUGUCUCCUCCAAACCAACAAAAUGAAUUAGUUCUAACUAAACACAAUCCAUCUAUCUCGACAACAACAUACAUAUUUUUGAGAAUUAUUGUAAAUUUUCAUAAUUUUACUUAUUAAUAAAUAGUGUUAAAUAC
rnacentral:misc_RNA from 1 species